ACGGGAGGCAGCAGUAGGGAAUUUUCGGCAAUGGACGGAAGUCUGACCGAGCAACGCCGCGUGAACGAAGAAGUAUUUCGGUAUGUAAAGUUCUUUUAUUAGGGACGAAAACUCGUAUUGACGGUACCUAAUGAAUAAGCUCCGGCUAACUACGUGCCAGCAGCCGCGGUAAUACGUAGGGAGCGAGCGUUAUCCGGAAUUAUUGGGCGUAAAGGGUGCGUAGAUGGCAAUAAAAGUUUCUUGUUAAAGUGCGGGGCUCAACCCCGUGAUGCAAGAAAAACUAGAUAGCUAGAGUAUGGGAGAGGCAAGUGGAACUCCAUGUGUAGCGGUAAAAUGCGUAAAUAUAUGGAAGAACACCAGUGGCGAAGGCGGCUUGCUAGCCCAAUACUGACAUUGAGGCACGAAAGCGUGGGGAGCAAACAGGAUUAGAUACCCUGGUA
rnacentral:rRNA from 1 species